rnacentral:lncRNA from 1 species
CCCCGCCGCCGCCCGGCGCAGGGGCCGGGAGCAAGUGCACGCCGCGCGGAGGACGAAGAGGCUGCACGCACAGCCGCUGCCGGGGGUCGGGGCCAAGUGCGCGCCUCGCCGAGGACGAAGAGGCUGGCGUGCCCGGUGGCUCGGCUAGCUCCCGGGUCCCGGCCCCGCCUGGAGGGUGGGUCCGCCGAUUACUCACUUUGUUUUUAGGGGAUUUCAGGGCCCCCUCCCGCCGAUCGGCGGAGUUUGGUGAUGUCACUCUGGGCCGGGUCUGGAGCAAAGCCAGGGCUACUGGGCUGCGGCCGCCCGCCCCGCGCAGGGAAAAGCCCGACCGGGCCUUCUGCUCCGCAGAGGCCGGGUGGUUGAACUCCGCGCGGGUUUCCUAACCGCUAAAGGUGCCUUUCGGUGGUGGCUGUCUCAGAAGCACGUUAAAAUGUCCUACCCACCCCAAUCUAGAUGCGGCUGUGGGGGAAUGGGAGCGGCCGGACCUCCCAGCCUGACAGUGCAUCAAGAGCUUUGCGGAGCCUACAGCCCGGAUGGGACGACUGAGGCCCUCCCGCUGGCGAGCUGGCCGAGGGCUCGUCCCUCUCCAGCUAAAGCGCCAGCUUACGAUACAGCCAAACUGCCGGCUCUCAUCGGCUGUGGGAGCAGGAGGCCCCCAGGGGUAAAUCCCGGAGCCUCGUCUCUGAAGCCUGGCGCUUGUGUCUCAGAAGGUGCGGGACCCACAGGGACACUUGAAUCAGCAGGCUCACGACCCCCCACCCCCCUGCCCCCGCCUGUGUUUGCCCUGGACCUCCAGCUAGGGCUGACCACUAAUUCUGUCAUGUGACCCCACAGUGCAGGUAGCUCCCCCAAGACCAAGCCCAAGGCGCGUCCGUGUGGAGGCUGGGGCUGACGCACCCCCACCCCAGGCCUCAUCCCCAAAGGAGGAUGCUCCACUGCAGGGGGCGGAGUCUUCUCCAGAUGGAGAAAGACUUUUUUAUUUUCUCUGAAUUCGUCUUAAAUUAGGAAAUCAUGUGGGAAUUGGAAAAGAUUGGAAAUUCUGACUUGUUUCCCAGGCUCUGAAGAAACAGGAAGAGAAAAGUGAAAAUAGAGUUAGCACCCCGCCCACUCAUUUCAGUUUCUCCAGUGGCUGGCCCUGAUUAGAAAAGUGUUUACUUUUGGCAGGGGGCGGGGGAGGCCGACUUCAGGUGACAGAAUGGAUUAAUUAAAAUCUUUGGUUAAUGAUAUACAAUUAUCAUUGAACCUUGCAUGGAUCCUCUUCUUAAAAUUCAUGUAUAUUUAUAACUUUUAAAUUAAUACGAUAAACACCCAUGUACCCAUUGCAAAACUCAAGGGGCCACCACCAUCCAGAAUUCUGUAUUGUAUUGUAUUGUAUUGUAUUGUAUUGUAUUGUAUUGUAUUGUAUUUAUUUAUUUAUUUAUUUUUUGAGACACGGUCUGUCUCUGUCGCCCAGGCUGGAGUGCAGUGGCACAAUCUCUGCUCACUGCAGCCUCUACCUCCUGGGCUCAAGCAAUCCUCCCACUUCAGCCUCUUGCAUAGCUGGGACUACGGGAGCACACCACCAUGCCCGGCUAAGUUUUUGUAUUUUUUGUAAAGAAGUGGUUUAACCUUGUUGUCCAGGCUAGUCUUGAACUCCUGAGCUCAACUUUCCUCCCCGCUUGGCCUCACAAAGUGCUGGGAUUACAGGCGUGAGCCACCACGCUGGGCCAGAAUUCUGUAUUUUUUAAAUUAAUUAAUUAAUUAAUUUAUUGU